UCUCUCUGUAGGAUUGACAGGGCUGCUUCCCAACCCAGUCGCUCCUCCAAGCACCCCUCACCAACCGUCACUCAAGCGGCGCGCGCGACUUCUCCGGUCCCUUUCUCGUUGGCUCCCCAGCAGGCUCGCGCUCCUCUCCAGAGCGUCCGUUGCUCGGUUGCCCGGGGAGACGCUGCGGGUGGGAGAGACCCGAGGAGCGAGUUGGAGUGGAGCUUGCGGGGCAGGGAGCUUUUGGUGAAGGAUGAGUGCCUGGUGACAAAAAGCAGCUCAAAAGUGCUGCACGGAGACCCUCCUUGCUGCCUCAUCUGUUAUUGUGAAAAUGAUUUCAACCCGUUGCUUAAUGCGACCUACAGGCAACUGUACAACCGAACCAUGAUUAAAGCUGAAUUUCUAAAAAGACAGGGGUUUGAGGUAAGGACUGUGUGGGAACAUGAAUGGCAGGCUAUGCUAGCUAACAAUAACCGGGUGGGGAAUUUUUUACGCGAAAAAAAGCUGCCACAGCCUUUGGUUCCUAGAGACGUCCUUUACGGUGGUAGAAUGAACACUAUCUGCCUUUAUUACAAACCACAGCCCGGGGAGCAAGUUCAUUACUAUGAUUUUACUAAACUCUACCCUUUUGUUAACAAGACUAAACAAUACCCUGUGGGACACCCCGUUAUCGUGUAUGAGGGUUUUGGGGAUAUUAGAGGGUA
rnacentral:lncRNA from 1 species